ACACAGCAUGGACAUGAAGGUCCACACUCAGCUCCUGGGGCUCCUGCUGCUCUGGCUUCCAGGUGCCCGAUGUGACAUCCAGAUGACCCAGUCUCCAACUUUUCUAUCUGCAUCUGUAGGAGACAGAGUCACCAUCACUUGCCAGGCAAGUCAGAGCAUUGGUAGUGCUUUAGCCUGGUACCAGCAGAAACCAGGGAAAGCCACUAGGCUCCUGAUCUAUGCUGCAUCUAGUUUGCAAUCUGGGGUUCCUUCGAGGUUCAGUGGCAGUGGAUCCGGGACAGAUUUCACUCUCACCAUCAGCAGCCUGCAACCUGAUGAUUUUGCCACUUACUACUGUCAACAGUAUAGCAGUUUCCCUCUCACAGUGUUACUAGUCAUAACAAUAACCCCCCCGGAAAGCAGACACUUGAGGCUGGGCUGCCCCAGCUGCUCUUCUUUGUGCAACCAUCUGCUGAUAACACUUGUCAGACUCAGCCAGAGUUUUGAAGGUUAUUGGGAGAUUAUGAAAGAGCAGGCCAUAAAAGUGUCUCUCCACCCUAAGUCUGUUUCCUCUCACGGCAAUGUCUCUUCAGAUUUAGUAAAGAAGGGAGAUUAG